CUGUAAGAUAAAUACAUAUAAUACAAAUUCGUAUUAUGUAUUCUAAAGAUUGUAAGAAAAUAUUGUUUCUUAAAAUUUAAUGAUUACAAAAAAUUCCAUACACAUGUAAUGCAAUUUAUCAAUUUAUAUUGUUUUUUGAGCGCAACACCAGGGCUUGGUCCGCACAAGCCCCCCUCACCCAAGAGCGGCCUCCUGAUGUACCUUAUGCCGAUACUUUAUUUACAAUUUAUAUAUACUACGGGUAUAGGGAAAAAAUUGCAAUAUUAGAUAAUAUAUUGUGACCUAUUCCAACCGACAUCGUAUAUGCAUAUACGCGUUUAUUAUAUUAUAUUAUGAUAUGCGCGUAAACGCCGCGAUACGACUCGGGGAAAAUAUUAUUAUUAUGUGUACACGUGUUUUCGUGGAGGAAAAAAACUGUAUACGACUUCCCACUCGAUUAGAACACGCCUUCGGCUGUCCGUUUAUAAUAAUAUUCGCCCGACGAAACGUAUAAUUUCCUAAACGUGGGGGGCUGACGACGGCGCGGUAAACGAUACAAAUAAUAAUAUUAUUAUUAUUAUUAUUAUAUACCUACAUAAUAUACGACGUCAAAAAUAUCGCCGAGAAGGGUAACUUUAUAUAGGAAGGUACUAUAUUAUAUACUAUAUAAUAGGUAGUAUAUUGCUGUAAUUUACUCAAAAGGGCGCAUUUAUAUAAUAUCAUCGACGGGUAAAUUAUUAUACUAUAGUGUAAGUACAUAUGAUAAAAAUUAACAUUUUUCCCGCGAGGAACCGUUGCAGUAUACAUACACCGAAUGUAAUAUACUGUAUUAUUAUAUAGAUAGGUGUUGGUAGGUGGUGUCAAUAUAAUAUAAUACAAUGCAGGAACACGAUUUUAGCGUUAUUAAAUGGCAACCCAGCAGGUGUUUCGAGAACGAUGCGUGUGAAUGAAAAUCAUAUAUAUAAUGAUGAUUAUUGUUUUGAUGAAUUGCCUAACAAGAAUACAUGUACGUCGCACUCUUAACGAUGCACUAAAUUAAGUGAUAACUGACGAGUGGUAUCUUUUUUUUUAUUUGUAUUUGUUUAAUAGAAAUUAUCCGAGUUAGUCGAGUUCUAAUGCGAGAAAUUUGUGAAUUCGACGUGCAUGUUAUAGUCAAGUAAUAAUAUAUAUAAUUAUUAUUAUAAAUUAUAAUGAUGACACAUUAUAAUAUAUAGUAUAAGAUUUACGAAACAUCGCGGAGAAGCAUUAUAAUGGUGUAUAGAGAAAUUAUGAAAUAAAUUAAUACGUUUCUUAUCUCGUCAUAAAUAAAGUAACGGUGUGGCGUAUUUUUUUAAAAUCGUAUUAAAUCCUAUGUAAAUCAUAACACACGCAUCGAUGUGUUUAGGCUGAAAAAAAAUGGGUACAAUAAAUUCUUGGGUACAUGCCUAUAUAAUAUAUUAUAAGGUAUCUAUCACAUAUUUUCAUAAACCGCGUAUUAUUUUAACAAUAAAUUAUUUACUUUGUGUUUAAACCUUAAACCAACACGACUGCUGCACUGUAUAUACAAAACAAACAGCAUACAGGAACGGAACGGGUUCGAAAACAAAAUACAAAAGGAAAAAAAAAAAGCCGCACGUAUUCAAAUUCCGACGAAGCGUGUUUUUACCACAAACUAUCAAUAGGCAGGCUCAGCAUUAUCCCGGACAGUGGACACCCUAUAUUAUAUUCCGGUCCAGCGGUCGCGAUUGCGGUCGUCGUCGUCUUCGUCGAAUUAUAAUAAUAUACAAUGUUGGAGCAUGCACGGAAGCGCGAAAACGAACAAACGAAACGACCGACGUUUUCGACGGUGUACGGCGCCGCGCUCCUCUCCGGAAACAGGUCCGAAUAGACCGCGUCCGCCACCAUGCGAUGCCUAUGGUUAUGUAAUAUUAUAUAUGUAUAUGUAUAAGUAUAUUAUUGUGCAUGGUACAUCGUAUACUCGCGCUGGUUGCUCCUAAAUAUAUACAAAAUAUGCACAAUUAUUAUUUCUAUUCCUACGAUGGGCCCAUGGGGGAGGAGUUUUUUCGAAAUUAUUUUGUAUAGUAGUUACCUACUUAUUAUUGUUUACGAGUAUAACAACAAUAGCUAUACUUUUACAAUUAUUUACCUAUUGUACACAGAAACAGAAUGAGAACGUAACUGGCAUUUGCGAAUCAUCUUAUUUAAGAAUAAAAUGUUACACGAUAUAGUGUAAAACAGAAAAAAAACAUGGAACUAAUAAGCAUUUAUUUUUAUUUUACAGUAAGCACUAAGCGCAUUUAAUACUUCAAAAUAUUUUAUUUAGACGCGAAUACAAAUAUCAUUAAUCUUAUUCUCUCUCUGUGUUUAGUAUAGCUACAUACCUACAUUACUAAAUUCGUGACAUAGGGGAUCUUAUGUACCUACUUUUAAAAUUUUAGUUCUUCUCAUAUCAUGAGAAAAAUAACUAAUUAUAAUAUUAAACAAUUUUUAUUAUUGUCAUUUUUCGUCAUAUUAUGCUACUAUUGUAUUUGGUAAAACUGGAAUAACCAAAACCAAUUGCAUUCAAUUAUUCAAAAUAUAAAUAUAUUAUAUUAUAUUAUAUUUCAUGCUAAUUUAUAUAAUUAUUAUCUAUAAUACACAUUGAACGCACGAUAAAGUUUUUUUUUGCAAAGACAUUGUGGAAAAUCAGGGGUGUGAAACUGUCUAUUGGGACUAAGCCAUCUUUAGUUGCAAAGGAUAAAAUAAGUUUAAUUAACUUAAAACUUAAAUACACGUAAAAUUAUUUUCUGUCCUUUACAUCAGUUUGAUGCAACUACGCUGCAGUACUGUUCUGCAGUUUUCGACUAAUAUUUAGAUUAUGAUUUCUUAGUUUUUUUAUUAGUAUUAGUGUAAUUUUAAAGCCAUUAAAAUCGUACACUAUACAAUCGCACAUACGAACACGUGGGCGCAUUUUUAGAGGAAGUUGAGUUUUUUAAUGAUCAAUUUAAAUAUGCAGUCAACUUUUGAGUGCACCGUGUACAGAAAUCCAAACGAAUAUACUUAAUAUGUAUUAAUAUAUUAUACAUAAUGUAUGUUGUAUAUAUUAUUAUGUACAUUUCAGUACAUUAAGUACAUUACAGUGGUGUCGGUAAUAUCAUAGUUUACGUACAAUAUAUAAGUUUUUCAAUGUAAACUGAAUUUUACAUAACUGAAUUCGUAUUGUUCAACUCAAUAUUUCACUACGGCAAACAAAAUUAAUAUUUAGGUUUGAACGUUUAAUUUAGAAGUUGUUUACGAGUUUCUCAAUUAGCAUAAACGUGGCGUCACGUCCUUAUUUUCGAGCCAAGCCUUCAAUUAUUCGAAAGUCAUCUGUGUACUUAAUCAUUAACAUCAUGAUCGAGCCUACUUAUAUUUUUAUAAAACUACUUUUUCCCCCCGAUUAUGCAAUUUCUAUUUAAAAAAAAAAACGCCUAUCACACAAAAUGUUCGCCUACGUACACGCUCACGGUGCGCACAGCAUUAUGAUAUUAUUUUGACACGUUUAUCUAUUUUUCUCGGCUAUUUUUCUCCGUUCGAACGUGAAAUGCACCGCAGUGGCAUAAUAAUAAUAAUAUUAUAUUGUUUAAAGUUUAAACAUCAAUUCAUCCCAUUUGUGUUGGACAGCUUCGAAACGGAAAUAAAUUCGAUGGUUUAGCGUCAUAGUUUUCAGCGGUUCUCGUUGGAAUAUUAUAUAUAAUAUAAUAUAAUCCUCUACGACUCAGUUUUUAUGUGAAGUGUUUUGCUUUGCCAUUCACUCGUCGUAAUAGGUUAUAUAUUAUCGUAUACAUAUAACACACGUGUAGAGCGCAACGUACGCAGAUAAAAUCAGCAUAAGCGAUUUGGGCAAAAAAUUGGCCGUUGUUUUUGCAGUCGUUGAACCCUAUGGCAGUAUGGCCUAUACACAAGUUGUUAUCGCGAAAUAGGUUCAACGAAAUCAUUUGUUAAAAAUAAUUACAUAUUUACAUAAUGUCUAAAACUAUAUAAUAUAAUACAUCAUUACAUCAAUCUAUUGAAGUUUAAAAUGGCAAUACUAACUACGUCGUCUCAUAUUAUUUUUAAUUAUAAUUAUUUUGAUAAAUUAAACAAUUUAUUGUACAUAAAGUAGUUACUAAAGGUACCGCCUGUUUUGGUACAUAUCAACGACAAAAAUGUUUGUAUUUAAA
rnacentral:lncRNA from 1 species